rnacentral:rRNA from 1 species
GACGAACGCUGGCGGCGUGCCUAAUACAUGCAAGUCGAACGAAGUGGCGAACGGGUGAGUAACGCGUAAUCAACCUGCCCUUCAGAGGGGGAUAACAGUUGGAAACGACUGCUAAUACCGCAUACUGAAGGAGGGGAUUGCGUCGGAUUCGCUAGUUGGAGGGGUAACGGCCCACCCAGGCGAUGAUCAGUCGCCGGUCCGGGAGGAUGAACGGCCAAAUUGGGAAUGGAACACGGCCCAGACUCCUACGGGAGGCAGCAGGGGGGAAUCUUCCGCAAUGGACGAAAGUCUGACGAAGCAACGCCGCGUGAGUGAUGACGGCCUUCGGGUUGUAAAGCUCUGUUAAUCGGGACGCGGUACCGGAAUAGAAAGCCACGGCUAACUACGUGCCAGCAGCCGCGGUAAUUC